AAAUGAAUUGACGGGGACCCGCACAAGCGGUGGAGCAUGUGGUUUAAUUCGAAGCAACGCGAAGAACCUUACCUGCUCUUGACAUCCCGGUGACCGCAGGGUAAUGCCUGCUUUUCUUCGGAACACCGGUGACAGGUGGUGCAUGGUUGUCGUCAGCUCGUGUCGUGAGAUGUUGGGUUAAGUCCCGCAACGAGCGCAACCCUUGUCUUUAGUAGCCAGCAGUUCGGCUGGGCACUCUAGAGAGACUGCCGGGGAUAACCCGGAGGAAGGCGGGGAUGACGUCAAAUCAUCAUGCCCCUUACGAGCAGGGCUACACACGUGCUACAAUGGCGUAAACAAAGGGAAGCGAAAUCGCGAGGUGGAGCAAAUCCCAAAAAUAACGUCUCAGUUCGGAUUGUAGUCUGCAACUCGACUACAUGAAGCUGGAAUCGCUAGUAAUCGCGAAUCAGAAUGUCGCGGUGAAUACGUUCCCGGGUCUUGUACACACCGCCCGU
rnacentral:rRNA from 1 species